GAUGAACGCUGGCGGCGCGCCUAACACAUGCAAGUCGAACGAUUAAAGCACCUUCGGGUGUGUAUAAAGUGGCGAACGGCUGAGUAACACGUGGGCAACCUGCCCCUUUCAUUGGGAUAGCCACGGGAAACCGUGGAUAAUACCGAAUACUUCGAGACUUCCGCAUGGAAGACUCGAGAAAGCUCCGGCGGAGAGGGAUGGGCCCGCGGCCUGUUAGCUUGUUGGUGGGGUAACGGCCUACCAAGGCAAUGAUGGGUAGCUGGGUUGAGAGACCGACCAGCCAGACUGGGACUGAGACACGGCCCAGACUCCUACGGGAGGCAGCAGUGGGGAAUCUUGCACAAUGGGCGAAAGCCUGAUGCAGCGACGCCGCGUGCGGGAUGAAGGCCUUCGGGUUGUAAACCGCUUUCAGCAGGGACGAGGCGAAAGUGACGGUACCUGCAGAAGAAGCCCCGGCUAACUACGUG
rnacentral:rRNA from 1 species